rnacentral:lncRNA from 13 species
GGGUGUAGGUGUCCAGGGCGCCGCCUGACUGGAAAGUCGCCCCCCGACCGGGCUCCUGGGGCGGACCCGGGUCGCGGGCGCGCGGUGGCGGGGCCCGGGCGGCGGGGGGCGGGUGGUGGCGCGGGCAGCACUCGGGGCGGGACGGCGGCGGCGGCGCGCGAGGCAGGCUUGCGGAGGGCAGCCCCGCGCCAGGCCCCGCCUCGCGCGCCCCGCCCGCCCCAGGGUCCUCGGAGCUGCUCGGGCUGCGCGCGGAGCGGGCUCCGGAGGGAAGUCCCGAGACAAAGGGAAGCGCCGCCGCCGCCGCCCCGCUCGGUCCUCCGCCUGUCCGCGACGCUCGCCGGGGCCGCGGCCGCCCGAGGUGAGCGCGGGCGGGGGCCGGGCCGGGGCCGGGGCCGCGGGGCGGGGGCGGGCCAAGGCCUCCAGCGCUGUCGGGCCCGGGCCCCCGGCUGCCCCGCGCCCCGCCCCGCCGAGCCCGGGCCCCGCGUCGCGGCCGAGCUUCCCAGAGAGGCCCCGCGCUCGACGCCGGCCCGGCCCGCGGUGCUGGCGUCGCGGGGCUGUAGCCCGAGCGCCCGGUUCGCCGUAGGCCCUCGGGGCCGGGGCUCCCCCACUUCGCCCUCGAGGUGCGCCUGGCGCGGGGCCGGGGCAGCCACCUGCAGCCGGGGCCCCGCGAGGCCGCGCCUUCCUCCUCCGCGGCGAGCGGCUUCCGGGGUCACGGUCGCCCGCGGACGACGAGGAUGGGCCUCCGGGGGGAGAGCCGCGGAUUGCAACAGCGCUGACUCGCGCGGGUGGGGGCCGGCGGGCGGGCGGGCGGCUCUUCGGGGCCUUCAAACCGAAACGCGUCCAAGUUCUCUCGCGCCGCUGAAGACGCCCCGCCGGCGCCGCUGGUGGGAGUUUGGUCCGGUCUCGGGCCGCUUUGUACCGGUUGAAUCGUGGUUGGCUCUGGAAGUUGGGGCCGUAGGAGGCAGGUGCGGGGUGACGCGCUGGGCUUGUGGUCGUGGCCUGCGGUCAGGCGCGAAGCGCAGGACGAAGUGGUUCGGGGUGUGGAGUCGGGAGUCACGUUUAGUUCCUCUGUCCGCGGAGUCUUGGGGGAUUUCGUCGGUUUUCUCCCUAAGACUCACCCCACCCGUUUCUUGCUCUUUAAAGAAACGUUGCCUUUGGGUAGAGAACCUAGCGGAGAGAACACAGGAAGGACCCUCAGUUUGCCCUGGGGGCUCACAAAGAGGUCCCUUCCCUAGGCUGUUGGGUGGCUGCAGGUGUCCCGGGGUUUGGGAUCUCGCUGCGGAAACAGCCCGGGGGCCUGGGACAGACAGGUCAGGUGCGGCCAGGUGA